CAGGACCCUCAAGCAAAGAGACCUUUAGUUUGAUACCCCGAAACCAAGUGAGCUACCCCGAGACAGCCUAUUUAGGGCCAACCCGUCUCUGUGGCAAAAGAGUGGGAAGAGCUCCGGGUAGAGGUGAUAAACCUACCGAACUUGGUGAUAGCUGGUUGCCUAAGAAAUGGAUAUUAGUUCAGCCUCGUCUGCCCCUAAUCAAGCAAGUAAAUCUAAUAAUAGACGAAGGGAAAAGAACGAGAGUUAGUUAAAGGGGGUACAGCCCCUUUAACAAAGGAUACAACCUUAACAGGAGGAUAAGGAUCAUAUUUCACAAAACUAACCGUCUUAGUGG
rnacentral:rRNA from 1 species